rnacentral:rRNA from 1 species
UCCCCUAGUAACUGCGAGUGAAGCGGGAAAAGCUCAAAUUUAAAAUCUGGCGGUCUUUGGCCGUCCGAGUUGUAAUCUAGAGAAGCAUUACCCGCGCUGGACCGUGUACAAGUCUCCUGGAAUGGAGCGUCAUAGAGGGUGAGAAUCCCGUCUCUGACACGGACUACCAGGGCUUUGUGGUAUGCUCUCAAAGAGUCGAGUUGUUUGGGAAUGCAGCUCAAAAUGGGUGGUAAAUUCCAUCUAAAGCUAAAUAUUGGCGAGAGACCGAUAGCGAACAAGUACCGUGAGGGAAAGAUGAAAAGAACUUUGGAAAGAGAGUUAAACAGUACGUGAAAUUGCUGAAAGGGAAACGCUUGAAGUCAGUCGCGUUGGCCGGGGAUCAGCCUCGCAUUUGCGUGGUGUACUUUCCGGUUGACGGGUCAGCAUCAAUUUUGACCGCUGGAAAAAGGCUUAGGGAAUGUGGCAGCUCCGGCUGUGUUAUAGCCCUUUGUCACAUACAGCGGCUGGGAUUGAGGAACUCAGCACGCCGCAAGGCCGGGUUUCGACCACGUUCGUGCUUAGGAUGCUGGCAUAAUGGCUUUAAGCGACCCGUCUUGAAACACGGACCAAGGAGUCUAACAUGCCUGCGAGUGUUUGGGUGGAAAACCCGAGUGCGUAAUGAAAGUGAAAGUUGAGAUC